UUGACUGCGCCCAGGUGUACCAGAAUGAU
rnacentral:piRNA from 1 species